UAUUAAAAAUUAAUUAAAAUGUAAUUACACUAAUAAAAAUAUGUGUCACAUUUUCAAAGCUAUUUUCACAUGUAACCAAACAUAAAUAUAGAGAGAACAAUAUUUACAUGAUAGCUCAACAUGGUAGGUUAUCAAAUUUAAUAAUUGAAUGAGUUAGAUUGUACAACCUCUCAUAAAAAUAGGAAGCACAUUCAAUAACAGGUAUUCCAAGGAUAUAUUUUUACAGGAGUUAAAAUCUAAAAUAGCAGAGGAAACCUAUGGCAGAUACGGAAUACUACAUGACAUGCUACCUUAGUAUUUUAGGGCUCAAAUGUUGCAUUCCAUCUCUUUCCCAUAAUACAAAGGACUAUAAAAGAAGGGAAAAAUGCUAUCUUGCAAUUCUACAAAGAUUAAAAAUAGUGUAUUCCCACCUACCAAAUUGCUAUUCCUUAUUAGGAUGAAUGUACCAUUCAAAUUAUAGUCAAUCUCAUAGAAAUCAAGAAAGGUAUGAUUUUUAUUAUUUUCUAAAGCUACUGAAGUUCAGAUAGCAAUUUAUCACAACAGCUUAAUAAUACUGAUGAAGAAGAAAAGAGCUCCAUUGACCAAGGUAAAGCAUUAACUGUCAAAACUCCAUAUUAAUUUAUCUCCCCAUACAACAUCCUAGGUCUUUGUUUGGUAUCAUUCCUCUGAGGUGCAAAUAUUUAUUUUUCCUGUGUUAGUUUGUUGUUAAAUACAUUUUACUAUUGCAAUUUUAACUAAAAAUGCUUAUUAUAAAAAAAAAAGGUGUAAGGAAGUAUAAAGUGGUCCUAACAUUUUAAUUUUCACAAUCAAAAUGUUUUUAAGACAAAUAUUUUAAAAUAAAUACAAAUAUCUCUACAAAGUGAAUCUGCUGAGACCACUAAGCUUUGUCAAAUAGACUACCAGUUCAGACUUACUCAAAAUACUUUUAAUCCCUAGUCCAAGCAACUAAAAAUUUCACAACAUCAAAUGAAUUUAAUUCAUGGUUUACAUUAACAAAUAUAAGCAAAAUAGGUUAAUAAAAUUAAGCAAUGAACAAUGUAGAUUAACACUACUUUAAAAAUAUAUGGUGAAAACAAUAAGCCAUUUAAAAAAAAAUCUGUAUUCUAACUCUUUCUCUCAUGACUGAAAUUAACUGAAAACAUGUGAUUGCACUUAACACAUUCAAUCAUCAAUUUUCUACUGAACACCCUGUCCUAUAUGCCAGGUACUAGGCUAAACAUUCAGGAGACCGCAAGUGGUAAAAGACUGGUCCUGUUCAUAAGUAAUUCACGGGUAAAUGCAAUUAGCUAUAAGCCGUGACAAGAGACGUACUAGAGAAAUAAACAAAAUACUAUAGAACAGAAAAGAAAAGACUGAUUUUGACUGAAGAGAAAGACUAAUGCAAAGCUUCAGGGAAAAUGAUAGAUGAGCUGAACCCUAAAGGUAAGUAGGAAUUUCCCAGGGAAAGCGGUAGUGGAAAAGGAGAAAAGGUUACUCCAAGCAAAAGGAAAAACAUUAAACAAAGGCCAGGAGUGAAAGUGUACAGGAAAGUGAAAGAGCGAUGAAAGGUUCAAGGAGCAACAUGGGUAGGUAAAAGCAGUAAAACAUGGGUAAAACAUGGGUAGGUAAAAGCAGUAAAACAUGGGUAGGUAAAAGCAGUAAAACAUGGGUAAAACAUGGGUAGGUAAAAGCAGUAUGGCUAAGUUGAGCUUUGAGACUAACAUUUAAGCAGUAAGAAAAGAAAGCAUCAUCAAUGAAAAAGAAAGGAUUGAGAGAGAACAAUCAACAAAGUGGGAUGAGAAACAGAGAAACAAGAGUAAGUAUAAUCAGACAACCAAAAGGAAAGUGUUAUAUGCCACAGAGAUCAUAUGUUUGCAGACCUAUUAAGAGUAGAGCAUUUAAUUCUGGUUCCAUACUGUGGGGAAAAUGUUAAGUUGUCAGAGUUGCUGGAAAAUGUCAGAAGUAAUUUCCAUCCCAAGUUGUUUUCUACCUCCAAUAAAGAAAAAAAUUAAAAAGAGACUCAUACUGCACCUUUUAAAAUCUAAAUGCUUUUUAAAUGCUUUUUAAUCAUACGACUUGCAUGAGAAUCACUGUAGCUGUGUGAUUAAAGAAUUCUCUCAUUGUUUUGCUCUUUUAUUUUUACGUUGAGUUCUAUUUUGUGUUUGCUUUUAUGUUUAUUUAUAUAAAUUUAUGGGAUUCAUGUGAAAUUUUGUUACAUGCAUAUACUUAGUAGUGAUCAAUUUAGUGUAUUUAGGGUGUCCAUCACCCAAAUAUAGUACAUUUUUAUUAACUAUAGUCAUUCUACUUUGCUAUCAAACACUGAAUUUAUUCCUUCUGUAGAAAAGCUUCAUUGUUAAAAAUAACUGAAGUGUGAUCUUUCCAUCAACUAUAACUAAUAAUGAUGUUUUCAAGCUUUUUGUAGAUAACAUAACAGAAGAUUGCACUAAAAAGGGCAGUCUUUGAAAUCAGAAACUCUGGGUUAAAGGAAUCACUUUGCACAGAAUAAGCAAAAUUUUAAGUCAGUCAGUCACUCAAUUCUCUAAGUUCUGAAUUCUUCAAAUGCGAAACAGAAAUAUUAGCCAUACCUAUGUCAAAGGUUCUAUGAGAAUCCAGUGAAAGAAUGUACACAAAAAAUGUUUUGUAAAUAUUAAUAGCAAAGGACCUAUGAGCCAACCAUUAACACUAGUGAGUUACAAUGUAACUUUUGUAUCAGCACACCCUCAGGAAGAAGAAAUGAGAGAAAAGGCAAGUACUUCUGUUACAAGCUUCCAAAUUAAAUAUGUAAUGGCUCAAUCUCUCAUCCUGUAAUUACUACUGCUCUUACUAGAGUAGAAAACCAGAAGGAACAAGGAGGUAUCUCAUAAGAUGAAGGAAUCAAUCACCCUCCUAUAAUAUAUGUCAGUUUCAUAGCUAUUUAUGUAUCAACACUACCAUGCCACACAAAAUUAUGUGGAAGAAGAAAAAAAUGUAGGUAGGGAGAAAAAGAGGGGAUCUUAUUUUGGGCUGUUAACAUGUCUACCUUCUUUCCCAGUGAGAAAAAUGUCUACAAAGAAAGUAUUAGAAGGACUACAGCUCACAUUGCACCCACUAUAAUAUUAAAAGCUCUUUAAGGUGCUCAAGCUAACCUCUUAAUGCAAGCAGAAGUUUAUCCAGUAUUAACCAACUGGUUCAAAGUCAAAGACAACAGAAUUAAGACUUAUUUAGGCUUAAGAAUAUUAAUUAAUCUGGAGGUUUGAAUAUGCCAAAGUGUUAUUAAUGUCACAUUUUAGACAGGUUCAGGAAGAACAUUUCCACAGUGCAUUAAUUUGAUGCACUAUUCUUCGCUAGCUUAAUUUAAAAAUUAUCUUUAUAGAGAAAUUCUCAAAGUCCUAAAAAUCUUGCGGCUAUAUUACGCAAGAGAGCCGCCCCCCACCGCCCUUAGCUUUGCCCAAAUAACACCUGAUUUGGCAUAUUUCCUUGAUGAAGGCAAGUCAAAAGCUUGUUGGGAAAAAGCAACUCAUAAAAUGAGAGUCAUUUAUGAAACACAAUUCUACAAAUAUUGUUAACAUUGCUGUAAUUAAGAAUUCUAAAGAAAAAAUGAAAAAUUAAAAGAAAUAUACUACUACCCAAAUAUUAUUUCAAUUGUUUUGUAUCUUGGCACUGAUCUUAAUGUUACAAUGCAUCAUAGUGUGACUAAAGAAUCACUACUUAUUAAAAACAAACAUCCAUAACAUCCAAUAAAUUUAAUUUUUACAACCUGUAAUUUUACCACAAACCAAAUUGGCUCAGUGUCUCACUUUGACAAAACAAAGUUUUAAGGCAAUAAUAUUAAUGUCAAUUCAUGAACAUAUCUGAUCAACCAGAAUAACAAAAUAAUUGUUUUAAAGCAAAAAAAAAAAAAAAAAUUGAGACUUUUGUUUAACCAGGUAUAUACUAAACAAUGUUCCCAACAUUUUAAUCAAUCUAUGUAGUAACCAAGAAAUCACACCACUGAAUGCGUAAAAGAACACUUUAUUUAUACACACAUGUGGGAAGACACAAAGCCACUUCCUGAUCAAAAGCAUUUUUAUUUUAAAUUGCAUUUACAUGUUGAUUAGAGGAAAUCUACUUGCUAAUCAUUUCAUAACUAAAUUUUUGAAAACCAGGCAAUUUAAAACAAUCACACUUAUUUCUUCAUGAAUUUUUUUAAUGUGGCAGUUAUACAUUUCUAGAGCACUAAAUGUUUAUACUUUACUGAAGCUGACCAGGUAAUUUCAAUACAUUUCAGAAUGACAGUUUACACCGCAUGUUAUGGAACAAAUAAGUAGCAUAUUUCCACAUUAGACAUUUUUACAGACUACUUUCAAUUUCUUAAAAUUAAUUGUAGGUCCAGGUGCUGAAAAUCCCAAAUAACAGCAGAAUAUAAAAGAAAAUAUUUUAAAUUUCUAAUGGCACCUUUCUUUCCAGUAUUUCAGAAAACAUAGCCAACAAAUGAAAUUGUGGUUUUACCUCCACCCAAGAUUCUCCUUCCAAUGCUUACCAUCCAUUCUUGCUUUGAGCAGUGACAAAGCAUACAAUACACUGCUUCCAUCAUAUGACUCAGAGAGCCCUAUCUGAAACAGCCUACAGAGUGUCAGGUAAGCGCCUUUUAAAGGAAGAUAAAUGACUAUGAUUUGUAGAAGGAAAGAAGAAGAUAAGAACUCAAUGUAAAAUUUUAUAUUAAAAAAUUUUAACUUUCUAAAUGACAUUAUAUACCAGGAAAAACAAAACAAAAUUCAAAAAAAAAAGGCACUUACCUCACUUCCCAUAGACUGGUUACACGAUCCAGCUGGGUCGAUAGGACAACACCAGCUUAGUGGAUGCUGGGAUUUCACCUGGAACAGAAACUAGUGACCUAUAACUUUAGCAGGUCUAAACCAAAGAAGCAAAAAUCAAAUGUAUAAUUUAUUUUACAGUCUAAGCUUCCUUUUCUUGCUGCUAUUUGGGGCUAUCAGCACAUAACCCUACAAUUAGUUCAUUUAAAAUAUAUAUAUGUAAAUAUAUUUUGAACAAUCACCGUUCAAGAAGAUGUCCCUUUGGGUAGCUAGGAAUACUGAACACUCUUACCUGCCCCUUAGCAUCCUCGGGCAUGGCUUUAAUGUGCAUUCUUUUUAAACAACGAAUUACUCCAUCAUAAAACUGAACUGUAAAUGUUCCUGAAACAGGAGCAAGUCAGAAUCAUUAGAAAAUAUAAUUCAAGUUUACAGCAACACUUGAAAUCUAACAAGUAGUGACCUGUAUAGAUAAAUGCUUAGGAAUGCAAAAACUACAAAUACUCCUGUUAAGGACUCCAUCAAGUUUAAGUUUACUUUCUCCCUCCCUCUAAAAACAACUCUGAACUCCUGUUUCCCCUAACAAGUACACAAAUUAAGUCUUGAUAAGUUAGUUCCAUGUAAUUCUGAUUUUUACUAAGAAAUUUUACAAUUUUACAAUAAUUUAAAUGUUUAGACUCAUAACAUAGCUGACAAAAGUAAAAUCAUUACUUACAAAAAUAUAUAUUUCCAUAGGCAUUAUUACCAUUUGCUCUUUGAAUGUUUCUUUCAAAAGAAGUAAUACAGAGAAGGAGCUGAUAUGCAAAAAAGAUAAUUUACCCUGGAAAGGAUUAUUCCUUGGGCAAUAACAACAAACUGGAAAAUAAGAAUUAUAGUUCUAGAUUUUAAAGCUAGAAAAUAUUUUACAAAUCAACUAGAUAAAAGUCUUCACAAAGUAGCUCAGAACACUGAACUCUAGAGGAAGGCUAAAUGCUAUACCCAAUGGCAUUCACCUAAGUGGCAGGCAGCAUGGCCAUAAUUAAUAUUUCCAAUCUCGUCUAGUCAUCCAUGUCUUUCCUACAAACUCAUCCUACUUGAAGGCCUCAAGAUUGUUUGUCUAUUAUGAAGCAUAUUCACUUUCUGUUACAGACCCCACGCUUUCAAGUCAAUAUAAACCAGUCCUAUUAGAAGAUACAUAAAUUAUGUAUAAUGCCUACUUAAGGAAAUUCAAAUGUUUUUCUGUCAUUUCCUAGAUAAAUGUUCUUCUACCAUUUCCCCAAUUAAGGCAGAAUCUCACUUUAAGUAAACAGAUACUUGGUCUUUAUAAAAGAAUUAUAAAUUAUAAACAAGAAAUAUGACGAUCAUUACUAAUGUCCUUGGGGUUGGCACCAAAGCCAAUAAUAUAUAUGUGCAAAGAUUUUUGUGGGGCGUACUUUGAAUAACACCAUGAUUUUAUAUCUUUCUAUAAUUAGCAUAAUGUUAAAUUUCACAGAUAUAAAGAUCUAAAUUCAAGUUAUACAAACAAUUGAUCAGGUGAAUAUUAAGGAUGUAUGUAAAGACACUAGAAAUAUUUUGAGAAUGCCAAACUCUGCGUACACCUUGCACUCCCAUCUUUCCUGCAACUUUCUGUCUUCCUUCUUCAACACAGCAUUCCAGAAAAACUUAGCUUGUACACCAGGCCGUCUGGGCAUCAAUACCUCUCUGCCUUUGCUCAUGCUGUUUCCUCUGUUGUGAUGCCUUUCUCCUUUCCUUAUGUAUAUCUAAACCCCACUCCACUCUUCAAGUACCAUUCCCAAGAUGAAAACUUCCCCAAUACUCCAGUACACCCUGACUGGCCCCUUUUCUUCGCUUCUAUAUGCUAUAUUACAAAUGCCUAAAUGUUCACAAUUGUUCAUUUUGGUUUGCUGUUACAUUGAAUGGACGGCUUCUUUUGCUCUUCUGAUUUUUGUCAAGGUGGGGAGGGGGCAGGACUAUCCACCACUUGGGACAUACAGAAAUCACAGUAUUAAUAGCUUUCAGAAAACAAAUAGUAUCUGCCAAUAUUUCAGUAUGUGUUCACUGAAACUACUCUUGAAAUCGCUGGGAUCACAAUCAGUAUCAUCACUCUUCCACUAAGGUAAGCUGAAUUUUCUAUAUUAAAUGCCUGUAGAUGAAAGGGAUAGAAUAAAGAAUGAGGGUGGUUUUGUUCUGAGUGUGUGUGAUAUGUGUGUACUUUCAUCUGCACACACACAGGGAACUUGAUGCAUGGAACGAAGGUCCCAAAGCUCUUAAAAGAAACUGUUAUGAAUUAAUGUAGAGGGCAAUGACCGUGUAAUUUUACUUCGUUUUGGGUACAUCCUAUUACCCAACAGAAGAGAUUUGACUUCUUCCUUUACUUCCACAAAUUGUUACUGACUGUCUACUAUGUGCUAGGCUCUGGACUAGACACUCAAGAGCCAACGUGAAUAAGACUUGGGAAUGUAAGCUCCA